rnacentral:miRNA from 1 species
GGGGACAGGGAUGGGUGUGGGG